rnacentral:rRNA from 1 species
UACGAAGGGGGCAAGCGUUGUUCGGAAUUACUGGGCGUAAAGCGCACGUAGGCGGCCUGAUAAGUCGGAUGUGAAAGCCCUGGGCUCAACCCAGGAAGUGCAUUCGAAACUGUCAGGCUUGAAUGUGGAAGAGGGUCGCGGAAUUCCCGGUGUAGAGGUGAAAUUCGUAGAUAUCGGGAGGAACACCAGUGGCGAAGGCGGCGACCUGGGCCAACAUUGACGCUGAGGUGCGAAAGCGUGGGGAGCAAACAGG